GGCGAACGCUGGCAGCGUGCUUAACACAUGCAAGUCGAACGAUGAAGCUGGAGCUUGCUCCGGUGGAUUAGUGGCGAACGGGUGAGUAACACGUGAGCAAUCUGCCCUUCACUCUGGGAUAACUGCGGGAAACUGUAGCUAAUACCGGAUACGAGACCUUGGGGCAUCCCAGGGUCUGGAAAGAAUUUCGGUGAAGGAUGAGCUCGCGGCCUAUCAGCUAGUUGGUGAGGUAAUGGCUCACCAAGGCGACGACGGGUAGCCGGCCUGAGAGGGUGACCGGCCACACUGGGACUGAGACACGGCCCAGACUCCUACGGGAGGCAGCAGUGGGGAAUAUUGCACAAUGGGCGAAAGCCUGAUGCAGCAACGCCGCGUGAGGGAUGAAGGCCUUCGGGUUGUAAACCUCUUUUAGUAGGGAAGAAGCGCAAGUGACGGUACCUACAGAAAAAGCACCGGCUAACUACGUGCCAGCCGCCGCCGUAA
rnacentral:rRNA from 1 species